UGUUGCCACGUGUGUCUUCAUUAAAGGAAAACUUGGUAUAAAAUCACCACAGUUCGUCGAGUCAGUAGUAAACAAUUGAAUAUUGCGUGACGUUUCACUACAAACUCCUUCACAAUGAAUGCAGUUCUGAUAUCACUGUUCGUUAUCGUUUUGCUGGUGGUCGUCUCGAUGGCGACUCUGCAGCAGUAUGGUGACGGAGAGCCAGUGGAGGUGGAAAUAAGGUAUGACGAACCAUCUCUCCCAUCACCACCUUCAUCGGGAUGCUCAGGUUGAGUCAAGGAAAACUGUUGAUGUCGGACGUCCCCAAGGAUUUCGGACCCGAUGUUUAUAUGUAUGAUAUGUUAAUGUGUUGUUCUCUUAUGUAAUAAAAUUAUUUGUACAGAAA